rnacentral:rRNA from 1 species
GACGAACGCUGGCGGCGUGCCUAAUACAUGCAAGUAGAACGCUGAAGGAGGAGCUUGCUUCUCUGGAUGAGUUGCGAACGGGUGAGUAACGCGUAGGUAACCUGCCUGGUAGCGGGGGAUAACUAUUGGAAACGAUAGCUAAUACCGCAUAAGAGUAGAUGUUGCAUGACAUUUACUUAAAAGGUGCAAUUGCAUCACUACCAGAUGGACCUGCGUUGUAUUAGCUAGUUGGUGGGGUAACGGCUCACCAAGGCGACGAUACAUAGCCGACCUGAGAGGGUGAUCGGCCACACUGGGACUGAGACACGGCCCAGACUCCUACGGGAGGCAGCAGUAGGGAAUCUUCGGCAAUGGACGGAAGUCUGACCGAGCAACGCCGCGUGAGUGAAGAAGGUUUUCGGAUCGUAAAGCUCUGUUGUAAGAGAAGAACGAGUGUGAGAGUGGAAAGUUCACACUGUGACGGUAUCUUACCAGAAAGGGACGGCUAACUACGUGCCAGCAGCCGCGGUAAUACGUAGGUCCCGAGCGUUGUCCGGAUUUAUUGGGCGUAAAGCGAGCGCAGGCGGUUAGAUAAGUCUGAAGUUAAAGGCUGUGGCUUAACCAUAGUACGCUCUGGAAACUGUUUAACUUGAGUGCAAGAGGGGAGAGUGGAAUUCCAUGUGUAGCGGUGAAAUGCGUAGAUAUAUGGAGGAACACCGGUGGCGAAAGCGGCUCUCUGGCUUGUAACUGACGCUGAGGCUCGAAAGCGUGGGGGAGCAAACAGG